GAGAGAGAGAGAACCCUUGUCUGGAAGAGAGAGAGUUCAGUUGAAGACAGUGUUCAGUCAAGCCUGUCGAGCAUUUGGUCCACCUGGGUUUUUUUUUUUCUUUUUUGUAAAUAUUGCAUGUGACAGAAAUCCACACAGAACUGAGCAAAAUGGGAUGAGCUGCUCAAUGCAGAAUACAAAGAAGGGGAAAAGCCAAACAGUGGAAUACCAAAAAAAUAGAACCAAAAUAUAUUGCUAAAUAUCUUCCUCAGUUGUGUGACAAAUGAAGUUCUCCGGAGCAUAUUUCUCCCCCUCCUGCUGAAAGUGAACCCCGUCCUACGAGGAAGGACAAAGUUCAGAGUGAACAUUUUUUUCCCCCUCUCUACAACACCUCUAGAUAUUUCCAGAUUUAAUUCUUGCACGUGCAUGCAUGUCUGAAACUUGGGUAACUAUGGUGCAUCUGUCAGAUAACCAAGGCAUCUUACUAACAUGCUGUAUCUGGAAUGU